rnacentral:rRNA from 1 species
UACGAAGGGGGCUAGCGUUGCUCGGAAUCACUGGGCGUAAAGCGCACGUAGGCGGAUCUUUAAGUCAGGGGUGAAAUCCUGGAGCUCAACUCCAGAACUGCCUCUGAUACUGGGGAUCUUGAGUCCGGAGGAGGUAAGUGGAACUGCGAGUGUAGAGGUGAAAUUCGUAGAUAUUCGCAAGAACACCAGUGGCGAAGGCGGCUUACUGGUCCGGUACUGACGCUGAGGUGCGAAAGCGCGGGGAGCAAACAGG